rnacentral:rRNA from 1 species
UACAUAGGGGGCAAGCGUUGUCCGGAAUCAUUGGGCGUAAAGAGCGCGUAGGCGGUCCGGUAAGUCCGCUCUGAAAGUCCGGGGGCUCAACCCCGGGAGGCGGGCGGAUACUGUCGGGCUAGAGUCCGGAAGAGGCGAGUGGAAUUCCUGGUGUAGCGGUGAAAUGCGCAGAUAUCAGGAGGAACACCGGUGCGGAAGGCGGGUCUCUGGGCCGAUACUGACGCUGAGGAGCGAAAGCGUGGGGAGCGAACAGG